GAUGAACGCUAGCUACAGGCUUAACACAUGCAAGUCGAGGGGAAACGACAUCGAAAGCUUGCUUUUGAUGGGCGUCGACCGGCGCACGGGUGAGUAACGCGUAUCCAACCUGCCCAUCACUUGGGAAUAACCUUGCGAAAGUAAGACUAAUACCCAAUGACAUCCCACGAAGACAUCUGAAUGGGAUUAAAGAUUUAUCGGUGAUGGAUGGGGAUGCGUCUGAUUAGCUUGUUGGCGGGGUAACGGCCUACCAAGGCAACGAUCAGUAGGGGUUCUGAGAGGAAGGUCCCCCACAUUGGAACUGAGACACGGUCCAAACUCCUACGGGAGGCAGCAGUGAGGAAGAUUGGUCAAUGGGCGAGAGCCUGAACCAGCCAAGUAGCGUGCAGGAUGACGGCCCUAUGGGUUGUAAACUGCUUUUAGAAGGGAAUAAAGUGGGUCUCGGGAGACUUUUUGCAUGUACCUUAUGAAUAAGGACCGGCUAAUUCCGUG
rnacentral:rRNA from 1 species